CAAUAGCGUAUAUUUAAGUUGUUGCAGUUAAAAAGCUCGUAGUUGGAUUUCGGAUGGGACUUGCCGGUCCGUCGUUUCGAUGUGCACUGGCCAGUCCUAUCUUGUUGUCGGGGACUAGCUCCUGGGCUUCACUGUCCGGGACUAGGAGCUGACGAGGUUACUUUGAGUAAAUUAGAGUGUUCAAAGCAAGCCUACGCUCUGAAUACAUUAGCAUGGAAUAACACGAUAGGACUCUGGCUUAUCUUGUUGGUCUGUGAGACCAGAGUAAUGAUUAAGAGGGACAGUCGGGGGCAUUCGUAUUUCAUUGUCAGAGGUGAAAUUCUUGGAUUUAUGAAAGACGAACUUCUGCGAAAGCAUUUGCCAAGGAUGUUUNCAUUGA
rnacentral:rRNA from 1 species